GCCCCAAAUUAAAAACUACAACAACAAAUAGGGAAGAGGAGGAAUAAAAUAUAUAAGGAGAUCCUGCAAUGAUGCAAAAUCGAUGGAGGCCCUGGUCUACUAUUGAGUAGCCACGUGUUGACGAGGAAUGCAGGUCUGCCAAAGGGAGUUCUCUCUUUAGAUUGGCUGCAUCCCAGCACCAGAGGAGGGGUCCCUGACUGCGCUGGUGCUAAGAAAAGGACAGGCAGACACAACACCCAUGUCAGCUGUGAAGGAUUACACAGCUGGUGGCCAGCAUCCCCUCGGGCACCAAAUGGUCUGUCUGCCUCACAAAGCCAGGCUAGCUUUCAAAGUUGUCUAUCUACCCACGCAUAACUAGCCAC
rnacentral:lncRNA from 1 species